UCUCCUGUAGUAUAGUGGUCAGUAUAGGGGCUUGUCAACUUGCGUUGUGCUCGCCCUCGACCCGGGUUCGAAUCCCGGCGGGAGAG